UGUAGGAUAUUUUAAUGUAAAAGUGGAAUUCUUGGUAUUAUUUUACUCUGACAGCAUUGAAUGAAAUAUAAUGAGGUGUGGUGUAUUAUUUUACUAAUUUAAUUUUUAAAAAUUUCGUCUGUCAUGUAUCAGAGAUUAGUUUACCUUCUUGUAGAAACCAUGCUGUGUUAUCUCCUACUCUACUGCUGUUUUCGUGCAUAUUUUUGUAAUUUUGAAAUGUAUUUUGUUUUAGGUAUUGAAGAAGCGGCAACAGCCACAGGAAGUAGCCAUCUUAUCCAGCAUGUUAUGGGUACAACUUGGCGGCUCCUGCUCCUGCCUUCCGCCACCACCCUGUCCCGACUGCGUCCACUAGAGAGUUGGCAGCCUUAGUGAUGAUGCCAAGCAGGCCGACGGCAGACAGCAAGAUGCAGGUUGCCGCGAAAUUCUACCCAAGCUGUGCCACACACUUGAGCCAGGCCUCUUGGAAAGGACGCAUAACCCGACUCCAUGCGUUGAUGUCAGAUGAUGCCAGGGAUCAAGGCAACCUGUUUUGCUCCAGCAUUCAACACUUGGUGACCCCUCUACAUGUUUCACCAAUUUCGCAGCUGUACCUCGGCUGCCAUCUAUCCAAACAGCAUCGCCAGCUGUGACCACUUAUCGAACCAUGAGCAAAUAUUGGCGUGAAGUGUUCGCUGGGCUUCACAUUCUAUUUGCUCCUUAAGAUUCCUAGCAAAUACUCCUGUUAUAAUUUGUGUGUUUAGUACCCAAUUUUCAAUAUUUCCUUUCUCUUGGAAUUCUUAACAUCAUCUCCUUCUAUUAUAUCUGUAUUUAUGCCCAGUUUCUCUUAGUUCUUUUGUACUUGUGUAUGUAAUUGAUAGGUUCUUAACUCUUGUAAUGCAUACGGCUAAAAUGCUGACUUACGUCAUGUUUUGUUCAUUUAUUAAUUUGCAGCGCUGUAGAAUGUUAAAACAUUUUACUUAACUAGGGCUCUAUGGCAAGAUAAAUUCAAGAGGAACAUGCAGGCACUUAUUUCAAGCACCUAUUAUUUUUGAAAAAAAGGAAAGAACAUAGGAGCGUGAAAAAGAAAACAGUAUUAAAGUAUGGAAACUUGGCUGCCCACCAUAAGUGAUGUGACUUCCUUUCACUGCAAUGAUACCAGUGGCACUGGUGGAUGUUUGAAGCAUGAAACCCAUGAUACCCUUGGCAUUCGUCAGCGUGGCAAAUGGGUUUGCCACACUUAAGAAUGCCAACGGUAUUGUAGGUUUCAUGCAGACAUUGGUUGUGUUACACCUUAUGAGUAUUGCAUUUCUCGAACAUGAAGGUUUACAGCAGUGCUUUGAAUGACACAUAUAUUUCCUAAUUUUCAGAAUUUAUGAAUGCAAGAGUAAUGGUACAUGUACGCUCAUGUAAAAAUUAUUUUACAGACUAUAUGCCCAUAGAUACACACUUCUUCUGAUGACAUAGCAACGACAGGGGGUGGCGGGAUGUAUGUCUUUAUUUCAGAUUUAAAUAUUGCCUUCCAGGCCUGGGUUAGUCUACUACAUUGAGGAUUCUAGGCCAGAGUCCCUGCACUAGAGGGAAGUGAAUUAAACUAAGAAUCAUAAAUAUGAAAAUAUCUUGUUCGUGGCACCAAUUUGACAAUCAGCAAGGUUCUUUCUGCAUUCAUUUCGAAAUUUGUGAUAUAUUUUAUAUGACUGGCUUCAUUAAUGUGAGAACAAAUAUUUGUUUAUUGUCAACACAGUUGAUGGCACCCAUUUCCACACCAUUCCUUUACAGGCUAAAAAUUCUAUGUAUUAAUGGGGUGUUUAAGGUUUUGCGCACUCAAUGUUAAGGGAUCCAAAUGGUGGCAUAGAACAGAAUGCAAGAAAGAACGAAGGAAUGCAAGUAGGGUAUGGGGCUUUGUAGGCAGACGCUUUGGUGUGCUAUUUCUAAAGCUCCCUACGGUCUGCCUGAAGGCAUUGCCUAACGCUUCGGCUGAAUACAUUGGCAGCCACAUAUUAAGGGGAAAUGCUCCUCGAAAUAAAUUUUUAAAAUUAUUUCUGCGAGAGAUUUGAA